rnacentral:rRNA from 1 species
AACGAACGCUGGCGGCAGGCUUAACACAUGCAAGUCGAGCGCCCCGCAGGGGGAGCGGCAGACGGGUGAGUAACGCGUGGGAAUCUACCCAUCUCUACGGAAUAACGCAUGGAAACGUGUGCUAAUACCGUAUACGUCCUUCGGGGGAAAGAUUUAUCGGAGAUGGAUGAGCCCGCGUUGGAUUAGCUAGUUGGUGGGGUAAAGGCCUACCAAGGCGACGAUCCAUAGCUGGUCUGAGAGGAUGAUCAGCCACACUGGGACUGAGACACGGCCCAGACUCCUACGGGAGGCAGCAGUGGGGAAUAUUGGACAAUGGGCGCAAGCCUGAUCCAGCCAUGCCGCGUGAGUGAUGAAGGCCCUAGGGUUGUAAAGCUCUUUCACCGGUGAAGAUAAUGACGGUAACCGGAGAAGAAGCCCCGGCUAACUUCGUGCCAGCAGCCGCCGUAAGAC